rnacentral:lncRNA from 1 species
GAAAAGAAAGGAGCGGAGAAGAUGAUCUGGCCAACUCACUAUUCCUCGAUGCAACAGAUGUUGCUGGGUUUGGACACAAUUAGCUUUUUCUAUUUUUUUCCCUAGAUAACUUCAAGUGAGACGGCAACAAAAGAAAAAAAUUAUUUAAUACUUCUGUAUGCUUUUUAGUUGCACAGUGAUUCAUCUUUUCUGAAUUUGUUUGCUAAUUAGGAGUAUGAAAGCCAG